AACGAACGCUGGCGGCAGGCUUAACACAUGCAAGUCGAGCGCCCCGCAAGGGGAGCGGCAGCCGGGUGAGUAACGCGUGGGAACGUACCUUUUGGUUCGGAACAACUCCGGGAAACUGGAGCUAAUACCGGAUAAGCCCUAACGGGGAAAGAUUUAUCGCCGAAAGAUCGGCCCGCGUCUGAUUAGCUAGUUGGUGAGGUAACGGCUCACCAAGGCGACGAUCAGUAGCUGGUCUGAGAGGAUGAUCAGCCACACUGGGACUGAGACACGGCCCAGACUCCUACGGGAGGCAGCAGUGGAGAAUAUUGGACAAUGGGCGCAAGCCUGAUCCAGCCAUGCCGCGUGAGUGAUGAAGGCCUUAGGGUUGUAAAGCUCUUUUGUCCGGGAAGAUAAUGACUGUACCGGAAGAAUAAGCCCCGGCUAACUUCGUG
rnacentral:rRNA from 1 species